GUAGGGUGCGAGCGUUAAUCGGAAUUACUGGGCGUAAGGCGUGCGCAGGCGGUUCGCCGUGUCCUGUGUGAAAGCCCCGGGCUCAACCUGGGAAUGGCAUGGGAAACUGGCGGGCUGGAGUGUGGCAGAGGGGGGUGGAAUUCCGCGUGUAGCAGUGAAAUGCGUAGAGAUGCGGAGGAACACCGAUGGCGAAGGCAGCCCCCUGGGCCAACACUGACGCUCAGGCACGAAAGCGUGGGGAGCGAACAGGAUUAGAUACCCUGGUAGUCCACGCCCUAAACGAUGUCAACUGGGUGUUGGGGGAGCGAUCCCUUGGUACCGUAGCUAACGCGUGAAGUUGACCGCCUGGGGAGUACGGCCGCAAGGUUA
rnacentral:rRNA from 1 species